UUCAAAAUUCUGGUUUCAAUCAAAAAGUCUACAAAACCACGUCCGAAUCACCUGAAAUUUUGCGCAGACAUCCCAAAUGACAUAAUGGACCUACUGCAACUCCCGAAAUUCCAUUCUGACCUCUAUAUGAAAAUCUCACUUAUCAACCCAAAAUGCAUAAAUUCCAAUUUCGCCAAAUCAAGUCUAAGUCUACUUCGAACUUCCAAAACACAUUGCUCAUGAUCCUAUGUCCAAAUCAUCUCAUGAAG
rnacentral:lncRNA from 1 species